GGGUGUGUAGUAUAAUCGGUCAAUAUAUAUUCUUGUCGAGAAUAGCCAUGCCGGUUCGAGUCCGGUCGCACUCG